rnacentral:rRNA from 1 species
GACGAACGCGGGCGGCGUGCUUAACACAUGCAAGUCGAACGAGUGGCGAACGGGUGAGUAAGACGUGGGUAACCUGCCCUCAUUUGGGGAUAAGCCUUGGAAACGGGGUCUAAUACCGAAUAAAGGGGGAUGGGCUCGCGGCCGAGCAGCUUGUUGGUGGGGUGAUGGCCUACCAAGGCGGGGACGGUUAGCAGGCCUGAGAGGGUGGCCGGCCACAUUGGGACUGAGAUACGGCCCAGACUCCUGCGGGAGGCAGCAGUGGGGGAUAUUGCACAAUGGGCGAAAGCCUGAUGCAGCGACGCCGCGUGUGGGAUGAAGGCUUUCGGGUUGUAAACCUCUUUCGCUAUCGAAAGGGUAGGUGGAGAAGAAGCGCCGGCUCACUACGUGCCAGCAGCCGCGGUAAUUC